AUUGAACGCUGGCGGCAGGCCUAACACAUGCAAGUCGAGCGGAUGAAGGGAACUUGCUCCUGGAUUCAGCGGCGGACGGGUGAGUAAUGCCUAGGAAUCUGCCUGGUAGUGGGGGAUAACGUCCGGACACGGGCGCUAAUACCGCAUACGUCCUGAGGGAGAAAGUGGGGGAUCUUCGGACCUCACGCUAUCAGAUGAGCCUAGGUCGGAUUAGCUAGUUGGUGGGGUAAAGGCCUACCAGGCGACGAUCCGUAACUGGUCUGAGAGGAUGAUCAGUCACACUGGAACUGAGACACGGUCCAGACUCCUACGGGAGGCAGCAGUGGGGAAUAUUGGACAAUGGGCGAAAGCCUGAUCCAGCCAUGCCGCGUGUGUGAAGAAGGUCUUCGGAUUGUAAAGCACUUUAAGUUGGGAGGAAGGGCAGUAAGUUAAUACCUUGCUGUUUUGACGUUACCAACAGAAUAAGCACCGGCUAACUUCGUG
rnacentral:rRNA from 1 species